ACAAAAAUGGAACAGCAUAACAAAUAACAGCUAAACCUAAUCAAAGAAUCAAUACAGUCCAAACAAUUCUGGGAAAAUUGGCAUAAACUAAACACAACAUCUUAAGAGGAAUUAGCAAUCCAAAAUGGGGAUA